rnacentral:rRNA from 1 species
AGUGAACGCUGGCGGUAGGCCUAACACAUGCAAGUCGAACGGCAGCACAGUAAGAGCUUGCUCUUACGGGUGGCGAGUGGCGGACGGGUGAGGAAUACAUCGGAAUCUACUUUUUCGUGGGGGAUAACGUAGGGAAACUUACGCUAAUACCGCAUACGACCUACGGGUGAAAGCAGGGGAUCUUCGGACCUUGCGCGCUUGACUGAGCCGAUGUCGGAUUAGCUAGUUGGCGGGGUAAAGGCCCACCAAGGCGACGAUCCGUAGCUGGUCUGAGAGGAUGAUCAGCCACACUGGAACUGAGACACGGUCCAGACUCCUACGGGAGGCAGCAGUGGGGAAUAUUGGACAAUGGGCGCAAGCCUGAUCCAGCCAUACCGCGUGGGUGAAGAAGGCCUUCGGGUUGUAAAGCCCUUUUGUUGGGAAAGAAAAGCAGCAGGUUAAUACCCCGCUGUUCUGACGGUACCCAAAGAAUAAGCACCGGCUAACUUCGUG